rnacentral:rRNA from 1 species
GAUGAACGCUGGCGGCGUGCCUAAUACAUGCAAGUCGAGCGAACGGACGAGAAGCUUGCUUCUCUGAUGUUAGCGGCGGACGGGUGAGUAACACGUGGAUAACCUACCUAUAAGACUGGGAUAACUUCGGGAAACCGUAGCUAAUACCGGAUAAUAUUUUGAACCGCAUGGUUCAAAAGUGAAAGACGGUCUUGCUGUCACUUAUAGAUGGAUCCGCGCUGCAUUAGCUAGUUGGUAAGGUAACGGCUUACCAAGGCAACGAUGCAUAGCCGACCUGAGAGGGUGAUCGGCCACACUGGAACUGAGACACGGUCCAGACUCCUACGGGAGGCAGCAGUAGGGAAUCUUCCGCAAUGGGCGAAAGCCUGACGGAGCAACGCCGCGUGAGUGAUGAAGGUCUUCGGAUCGUAAUACUCUGUUAUUAGGGAAGAACAUAUGUGUAAGUAACUGUGCACAUCUUGACGGUACCUAAUCAGAAAGCCACGGCUAACUACGUG